CAACAGGGGAACAUGCUCAGUGAACUCCAAGUCUCAAAUUCUGAGUAUUAUAUUUUUACAAAGCAGCACAGGACCUUCUGGCUGGAAUAAAUUUUGAGAUAAUCUCUUGGGCCUGCUUUCUGACUUCUUGAGAAGACUGUUCAAUCAGUUUGAAAACAAUAACUGUUCCCAUGUUUACUAUUUCUCACAGAGAAGAGAGAAGGCAAUGUGACGACAUAAGGAGAAGACGGCCAUCUGCAAACUACGAAGAGAGCCCUCAGUAGGCACCGAAUCUGUUGGCACCUCGAUCUUGAACUUCCCAACCUCCAGAACUGUGAGAAAUAAAUGUGGUUUAAGCCA